rnacentral:rRNA from 1 species
AUGAUAUGAGAUUACUACAUAUCCGCCAGGGGACUACAAGCAUUAGCUUAAACCCAAAGGACUUGGCGGUGCUUUAUACCCACCUAGAGGAGCCUGUUCUAGAACCGAUAACCCCCGUUAAACCUCACCCUAUAUUGUCAUAAUCAGCCUAUAUACCGCCGUCGCCAGCUUACCUUGUGAAAGCAUAAAAGUGAGCAAAACUGGUACAACCUAAAACGUCAGGUCGAGGUGUAGUAUAUAAUAAGGGAAGAAAUGGGCUACAUUCAUCAUACGAUGAAUACGAAUAGUUUAAUGAAAAUUAAAUUUAAAGGAGGAUUUAGCAGUAAGAAGAAAAUAGAGUGUUC